UAAUCAGCAAAUUAUACUUCCGCCGCAACAAUCUUGGAGCCAGCCGUGACAUCAUAUAGAAAUCUGGCGGACUCUUUGGGCAUGUCCUAUGUACCUCGUUUUCAAAAUGCGUACAAACUGCUUGAUAAAAUCUCCAAAAGACGCUCAUUUUUUCAAACCUCAAUGAACUGCCUAUAUCACAUUUCUUCCCAUCGAAGAAACUCAAAUUCCGCUGUCCCAGUUUAUUCUUUUGACCUAAGCGAAUAUACAAUAUCUUGGACGUCAAAAAUAUCAAGUAUGUUAAGGAAAAAUCGACCUCAGGAGGCCAUUGGUUUGUUCAAAACAAUGCUUAUGAACAAUCAAAGACCGAAUUUUGUGACAAUGUUAAGCGUGAUUAAAGUGAUUGGCGAAAUGGGUUUGAGAGAUAUGGUUCGUGUUAUUCAUGGGUUUGCAGUAAAAAUGGGGUUUGUGGAAGUAUUGGUUGUCACGGCACUUGUUGGUGUUUACUCGGCUUGGGAUAUGAGGAUUGCGUGGAAACUGUUUGAAGAAACACCUAAUAAAGAUGUCGUCUUGUGGAGCGCAAUGGUUUCGGCUUGUGUGAAGAAUGGGGACUAUGUUGAAGCGUUUGAGUUAUUCAAGAAAAUGCAGUUUUGGGGUCUGCAGCCGAACCUUGUGACCGUUGUUAGUAUACUACCGGCCUGUGCUGAUCUUGGUGUUAUGACAUUUGGAAAAGAACUACAUGGUUUUUCCAUUAAGAGAGUAAUUUAUUCUCAUACGAAUUUGCAGAAUUCGCUUGUGGACAUGUAUGCCAAGUGUGGGAAUUUGAAGGCAUCAUUUCUGAUUUUUAAUAGGAUGCUUAAGAAAGAUAUUAUCUCAUGGAGGAGUAUAAUUCACGCGUGCCUGGAAAAUGAGUGUCCGGAAAAAGCAUUGUUUGUCUUCUCCAAAAUGCGAUCUUAUACCUCUGAAAUGGAUGGAUGUAUUAUGCGAAAAGUGAUUGGAGCAUCUUCACAAUUGGAUGAUCAUCUUAUUGGGCAAGGACUUCAUGGCCUUGUAUUGAAAAUGGGUUAUAUUGCAUCUGUUUCCAUGGUGACUGCACUUCUUCAAGUUUAUGCCAGCUUUGGGAGUGUUGGAUCAGCUAGGGCGUUGUUUGAUCAGCUCAACCAGAAAGAUGUUGUUGCCUGGAGUGUGAUGAUAGCGGCAUAUGUUCAAGGUAGACUCGCUGGUGAUGCUUUUGAUACAUCGAGACAGAUGCAAUUGGCUGACCAAAAGCCUAAUGAGGCCAUUUAUGUUAGUUUAUUACGAGCUUGUUCUUUAAUGGCUGCUCAAGAGAUUGGAGAAAGUAUACAUGCACACUUAACUAAAGCUGGGUACUUGUCUAAUACAUUUUUGACUUCGGCAUUGAUUGAUAUGUACUGCAAAUUUGGAAGAGUGAGGCAAGGGAAGGCUAUUUUUGAUGAAAAUCACUUAAAAGAUUUUAUAUGUUGGAGUUCAAUGAUCAACGGCUACGGGAUUAAUGGCUGUGGUGAUGAGGUUCUUCAGUGUUUUGCAAACAUGUUGUCUUGCGGGAUUGAGCCUAACGAUGUUGUUUUUAUAUCUGUUCUGUCUGCGUGCAGUCACUGUGGCCUUGAAUAUGAGGGAUGGAACUGGUUUAAUGCUAUGGAAGAGAUAUAUGGUAUUACCCCAAAACUUGCACAUUAUGCUUGCAUGGUUGACAUGCUUAGCCGUCAAGGCAAUAUAGAAGAGGCUCUUGAAUUUGUGAAUGAUAUGCCCGUUAAGCCUGAUAAACGCAUAUGGGGAGCUCUUCUUGCUGGCAGCAGAAAAGCUCAUGGAUCUGUUGACAUUUCAGAAUCUAUUGCCAAACAGAUCAUUAAUUCAGAUCCUAAAAAUACCAGCUAUUAUGUGAGUCUCUCCAACUUAUAUGCAGAACAGGCUAGAUGGGAUGAGGUUGAAAAGUUGAGAAGAUUGAUAAACCAGGAGGAAUUUAAAAAAGAGAUGGGUUAUAGCAUGAUAUGAGCUAAAUGCUAAUUAUAAACUAUCAAUAUUAACUUGUUGAUCGAGGCCUCAAUUUCAUCACCCGACUGUCGGUGCAUAGAAGUAAUGAGAUUCUGGUAUCUUAAGCGGGCUGAUAUGAACCAAAGAGGCCUUCCCCAUCCAAAAGAGGAAAACCGCCUAAACUUUUGAAAUCUCAUGUGGUCAGCUCACUUGUUGGCAUGUGCAGCCAGUUUUAAACAAAGUUCGAGCAUUUGCCAUCCUCCCAAAGUUUUGCAAGAUAAUCCCAGCUUAUUUUGUUCGAAACUCCAUAUCCGUCUUUCUCAUGAUCGUCCAUGGAGGGUCUAGCAAUUGGCAGCCAGCUCAGUUCCUAGUAGUGUCCAGAAAAUGGUGGAUCAAGCAUCGUGUUCAAGUCCACUACUUGAAGCAGUGUACAUCUUGUUGGCAUCAGAUAAUUUUGAUUUGAGUGUAAGAUAUGCAUGUGCCUAAUCACAUUCACACGUUCCAUUAAUGUGGCCAGUAAAUCUAAAGAUUUGUGACAAUUUUGGCGAGGUUGGUGUCCAUGUCUCAAAUUCCGAACUUUGGACCAAUUGGAUAUUAUAAGCCUAAUACUUCUGUCUUUUAGCUUUACUCGUUGGACUCCGACAUUCUUGCACGUGUGUUUUUCAAACUCGACAACUUUUUACACUUUUUGCUUUUGUAUUAGAAUCCUGAGGAACUAUUUCUCUCAGAUAUUUUCUAUUUUCCAGGCAUAUGUUCUUUGGGUUUUCCCCCAUUUUUUGGGUUUUUUUUUAUUUUUAAUUAAAGUGGGGUGAAGUUUAAUGGAUGAUGAAAUUCCACAUGGUAUAGCCAAAUCCCUGAGAUCUUAAUUUGUUUCUGAUCUUACUCAAAUAUCUUGCUUCUUGAAACUUGAAAGGAUCUCAUGUUUAUGUGAAUUAUAAUUUGCAGAAUGGAGCUUCUGAUACAUCUAUACAAAGAGAUGACAGCAAAAUUGACAUGCAUGGAGAAGUGCAAAAAUAUGCCUUUUUCUACUGUAUUUGGUGUCGCUCAGGAUUGGACAGAAGCCUGAGGAUCACAAACUAGACACUGUAGCAGAUAAUUCCGAACCAGAUGUAGCAUAUGCGAAGAAGUGACUUCCCUUCUCCGACUCUUACUUUCCAACCUGAGAACGAAUAGCUUAUGCCUUCUACUUCUGGAACAGGGUUCUAUUGUCUGUUAUUGACCUCUGGAUGCCAACAGGAUGAUAUUGUGGUUCCUAUGAAGUGGAGAUGAUGGGGUCAAUAAAAGGAUUUUUUUUUUCCUUUUCUUUUGCCACAUUUUGUCAAAUGGAUUGAAGGGAGAUAGUACGGAUCAUCAGGUUGGUUGGAAUUUUAUCACAUUCCAUGGCAGCAAAGCUGCCUACACAAAAGAGGCAUAUCGAGCUGCAAAUCGCAAGUUCCAAUAAAUAUGGAUAUGGAACCACAUAGCCAUCAUUCUCCUUCUCUGCCUAACUCUUAUCUACAUCUUACAAGAGCACACAACUUGCCAUGAAUGGGAUCAGCCUGUAUUGGUGCACAUUUUAAAAUUCUUUUGGAGGAUUUCUUUACUGUUUUUUCAUGUAAAUGCAUUGAUUUUGAUGGAUGUAUAGAGCAAACAUUUAUGUGAUGGAAUAUACACAAUUAACGAAGAGAAAUAUGUGAUGAGAUUUGUGGGCCAUACAGGCUAGUACACUUUUGAACUGUAUGCUCAAAUAUUUUGGUGAAUAAGGGUGAUGAGCUAACUCCUGAUUAUGAAACAAACGGUGUAAUCGGGGGUUGUUUGACAAAGCUUUUAAUUAAACGUUUAGCAAAUUUUGAUAAAUAUUGAUGUUAAUGUAUCGUUGAAAGAUGAUAAAAAUUGUGGCCCACAUAAAAUGUGUAAUUAAAACUUAAAAUUGAUGUUUGUAGUUAUAUAUAAUCUAUAGGACAAGACAAAGUGUAGGUGCCUUUAAAGGUUAUAUUUAUUUUACCCUCAUAAAAGUGACGAAAAUAAUAGUUUACUCUUCAAAAUAAUUUCACAAGGUCUUUGUAAAUAACUACAAUAUUAUUUCAUGAUCUAUGAUUGGCGCUGAUAUUAUAAUAAUGCUUCAUUUGUACUAAUCAACUCUUAACUAAAUUACGAACAUAUAAAUUCACAUUAAUUCACAAAUAUCAUUACAUAAAGAUUUCAUAGAGCAUAAUAAUAUUUUUAUUUAUUACGUGACCUUAUGUUGUUUAUUAUCAUAUGCUAAUCUACAUUGAAUCUUUCGAAAGCAAUAUAAAUCACGAACACAUUGAAAUGGUGAAAACAAUAUAAAUCACGAACACAUUGAAAUGGUGGCAAAUAAUUGAAACGGAUUAGGAGAAUAAUAAAUGACAACCAGAAAAAUAAGAAUUAAACUAAAAAUGAGAAAUUAAUUAAUCAAGAGUUAACAAAAUUUCAUCUUUAAUUCUAGCUACAAAGUGUUUAGCCUAUCAUUAUUUGAUAAAAAAUAAAAAAUAAAAAAAAUUACAAGAUAAAAUGUGAAUACGUAAUUGGGAUACUUUUGAAUAUAAGUUGGGCCACUCGUUAAUCUUGAACCUCAUCAAUGAUUUUGAAUGACUCGUUCUUCUUCUUCAAAAUCAUUCCAAAACAUACAAAAAUUUCUUGUAAUUAUGCUCCCAAGAAAAUUUNCUUACUCAAAUAUCUUGCUUCUUGAAACUUGAAAGGAUCUCAUGUUUAUGUGAAUUAUAAUUUGCAGAAUGGAGCUUCUGAUACAUCUAUACAAAGAGAUGGCAGCAAAAUUGACAUGCAUGGAGAAGUGCAAAAAUAUGCCUUUUUCUACUGUAUUUGGUGUCGCUCAGGAUUGGACAGAAGCCUGAGGAUCACAAACUAGACACUGUAGCAGAUAAUUCCGAACCAGAUGUAGCAUAUGCGAAGAAGUGACUUCCCUUCUCCGACUCUUACUUUCCAACCUGAGAACGAAUAGCUUAUGCCUUCUACUUCUGGAACGGGGUUCUAUUGUCUGUUAUUGACCUCUGGAUGCCAACAGGAUGAUAUUGUGGUUCCUAUGAAGUGGAGAUAAUGGGGUCAAUAAAAGGAUUUUUUUUUUCCUUUUCUUUUGCCACAUUUUGUCAAAUGGAUUGAGGGAGAUAGUACGGAUCAUCAGGUUGGUUGGAAUUUUAUCACAUUCCAUGGCAGCAAAGCUGCCUACACAAAAGAGGCAUAUCGAGCUGCAAAUCGCAAGUUUCAAUAAAUAUGGAUAUGAAACCACAUAGCCAUCAUUCUCCUUCUCUGCCUAACUCUUAU
rnacentral:lncRNA from 1 species